ensembl:lncRNA
AAUAACAAAAAAACGUCCUCUAGAAAAAGAACCGUAAGUAAAAAAGAUUGUAAAAAAUAUAAAUAUACGUAUAUAUAUUUACAUAUGUGUUUUUAAAUAGACAAAAGUUAUAUUUAUAUAUAUGUGCAUAUAUAUUUUUUUUUUAAGUUAAUAACUAUUCCUGAGUUCAAAAAAUUAAAAAAAAAAAAUGAGCUAAAUAUAUUUUCAAGUCCAAAUAAAAUAAAUGAAGAGUUAAAUAAAGAACAUAAUUUUUCUGAUUCUGUUCUAAGUUCUUAUAAAUUAUUUUUAACUGAAAAGCAAUAUGAAAAUAAAAUAGAAAAAGAACAGGUAUGCCUUUUUCUUAUAACUUUCAUUUUUCUUUUUUUUUUGCAUGAUAUCUUACCUAAAUUUAUAACUACAUAUGUACUUUAUAUAUAUAUAUUGACAUACUAUAAAACGUCCAUAAACACGGUUACAUAUAAAAAUACAGCAAACAAAUAAACAAUACUAAAUAAUUUUUUCUUUUGCUUGUAAUAUCAUUUUUUUUACAGAUAAAUGAUGAUAUUUAUUCUGACAUACAAAGUAAUUAUAUAUAUAUAUUUUUUUUUUUUUACAUCAAGUGCAGUCUUAUAAGUCUAAAUUUAAAUGGUUUUUAUUAUUUAUACCAUGUAUAGCUUGUUUAUUCUACUUUAUUUAAUUUAUAUAUAUAGAUAUAUCAAAAGAAAAGUCCGAUAUAGAAACAGAACUAAAUCUAAAUAAAAUUGACAGUGUACCUUUGAUAAACUCUAAAUCAAAUAAGAGCUUUAUUGACAGCCAUAAAAAGGCGUUAGAAAAUUUCCAAAAGGAUGAUGCAAAUUUUGAAUGUACAUAUAAUUGUAAAAGCGAAAAAGGACAAAAAAAUUCAAACUUAAGUACAAAAAUUAAUGAUUUAAAUAUUCAAGAAUGUCAACUGGUGAGCACAUGUAAUUAUCGUUUAUUUCAAAAUGUAUUAAAAACGAAACUACAAUUAAUUUUGUACAUAUAUAUAUAUAUAUAUAUAUAUACAUACUUGUGCAUGUUAAAACCAACAUUUUAUUUAAUACAUCACUUAAUUUAAACUGCCUAAUACUUUAAUUUAUGUAUUUUUUAUUAAUUCUCUUAGUGCUUAAUGCCUAAUACGGAAUCGUUACAUGGAAAUUUCCCUCCUCUCUUUUAUAAACUAAGUUGUGGUAUGUUUAUAAUUUUAACAAUGUAUUUUCUCGCAUUUACAUACACAUUAAGAGUAAAAAUAUUCUUAAUCUUUACCAAAUAUUAAUCAUAAUUUAAUCCGUAUUUACUCCUAUAUGAGUUUUAUCUGAACCCUAUUUAAAUUAUAUUUGAAACAUAUUUGAACCCUAACUCAACCCUAAUUAAACCCUAACUAAGCCCUAAUUAAACCCUAACUCAACCCUAUCUCAACCCUAACUCAACCCUAACUCAACCCUAACUCAACCCUAGCUCAACCCUAACUCAACCCUAACUCAACCCUAGCUCAACCCUAGCUCAACCCUAACUCAACCCUAACCCAACCCUAACUAAACUCUAACUAAACCCUAACUUAACCUUAUUAAAUAACAUUUAUAUUUGUUUUUUUUUGUUUGUUCAGAUCAUGUUUUUCAUUUAAUGUGCAUCUAUGAAACUGUUAUACGAAGGGAAUGUAGAAAGGUAUUUAAAAAAAAAAAAUUAUGAAAAUAGUAAUAACAAUUAAAAAAAUUAAUGUUUUUAUUUUCCGCAUAUCUAUUUAUAAGCAC